AUCCUUGUGUAGUUCAUGAGUGUGAUGGUUGGGUGCUCAGGCUAUUAUGCAACAUGUGCCUCCCUUAAACCUUAUUAAGAUAUUGGCACAUUGCUCAUCUGAUA
ensembl:snoRNA